GGAAUUAUUGGGCGUAAAGGGCGCGCAGGCGGUCUUCUAAGUCUGAUGUGAAAGCCCACGGCUUAACCGUGGAGGGUCAUUGGAAACUGGAGGACUUGAGUACAGAAGAGGAGAGUGGAAUUCCACGUGGAGCGGUGAAAUGCGUAGAGAUGUGGAGGAACACCAGUGGCGAAGGCGACUCUCUGGUCUGUAACUGACGCUGAGGUGCGAAAGCGUGGGUAGC
rnacentral:rRNA from 1 species